CUCAAUGUAUAAGAGCUGUUUUGGAAGUACGAGGGGCCCUACAUGAAAUUAGGCAGGUGGAUUUAAUGGCAUGCCUGAUCAGUGAACCCUGAGAAAGCUGGCGUGCUUUAUGUGUGCCGAGUGUCUCUUUAAAUAUUACUUUGAGGUGUGAUACAGGGACCACGAUAAAGAGCAGUCAGUGAUUUAUAGACCUAUGUACAGGAUAUUACAGAGAAAUAGCAGUAUUUUGUUUCAAUUCUUCCGUAGUGAUCAUUCUUUGAUCAUAUAAUCACAAUCACAAUGUGGGCUAUGAGUGGGUUCUGUGAGUGUGGGCUAUGAGUGAGUUCUGUGAGUGAGGGCUCUGAGUAGGGGUCUGUGAGUGUGGGCUAUGAGUGGGUUCUGUGAGUGUGGGCUAUGAGUGAGUUCUGUGAGUGUGGGCUAUGAGUGAGUUCUGUGAGUAGGGUCUGUCAGUGUGGGCUAUGAGUGGGUUCUGUGAGUGUGGGCUAUGAGUGAGUUCUGUGAGUUUGGCCUAUAAGUGAGUUCUGUGAGUGUGGGCUAUGAGUGAAUUCUGUGAAUGUGGGCUAUGCGUGGGUUCUGUGAGUGUGGGCUAUGAGUGAGUUCUGUG